UACAGAGGUCCCGAGCGUUGUUCGGAUUCAUUGGGCGUAAAGGGUGCGUAGGUGGCGCUGUAAGUGGGGUGUGAAAUCCCGGGGCUUAACUCCGGAACUGCAUUCCAUACUGCGGUGCUUGAGGACUGGAGAGGAGACUGGAAUUUACGGUGUAGCGGUGAAAUGCGUAGAUAUCUAUCGGAACGCCAAAGGUGAAGACAGGCCGCUGGGCUUGUACUGACGCUGAGGAACGAAAGCGUGGGGAGCAAACGGG
rnacentral:rRNA from 1 species